AGCCACAGUACUGGUUAAUUAUAAAGUCUCAUUUGAGUCGUAAAUCCCAGUGACGUGUUAUUUGGAGAAUUUCACUAUCAUGUGGUUGUGAUGGUCAAAUUAAGGCUACGCAAUCACUUUGAUACUCUCGAUCAUCUAUUCUUACGUGCCGUCUCCAACGUUAUAUUUUGCUUAUCAUAAGCAUACAUCUGUCCUCUUUUCGUCAUGUUCUAAUCAUUAUAUUUGAUGCAGUAAUCAAACAAUUUUACCAUGUCAACCAAACAACAUUUUCCG